AGGCAGCGAAGGGAGACAGAGAGUGUGAACUUAAAAGGGGAAGCUUGCACAUACAUACUGAGUCCUUAUGCAGCCCCAUAAGUGUGACAUAGCCAUGAUGUGGUCAAGCAACAUAAUGCCCUUUGAGCUGCCUAAGUAUAUGUCUGAACGCUGAUAUGUGUGUCCCACCCAUUGUCAGGGGGCAGGGUCAACAACCAGAACUACUAAAACAAAACUUUGCUUUGCUGGGAUACUCGAUGCUGGUCAGCUGGAGCUAGAAAUUAACGGUGAUUAAGAAGAAACCACAUCACUGAGGUGAAAUCUUCUGGGAAGUGUUUCCUAAGAGUCAGCACACAGAAGCUGUGUUCCAGAGGUGGGCAAGGUUGUACCUCGUGCUGGCAGCAGGACUUGGUAAUGUGUAAGAGUCAUCCAGGUGGUAUUGGUUUUAAAGGCAUGAAGGGGUCAUGGAGAGCUGCUGAGGCUUGGCACUGUGAGAGGCCAGGCCAGGCCAUUGGUGAAUGUGAAUCCUUAGUCACAGCUUAAAACCCAGGACUGAAGUUGAGACAUAACACCAUGAAAAAAGCCUGAGAGGCUAUUGGUGAAAGUGCAGCUCAGUUGCAGCAAGGGACCCCAGCAUUUUGGAGAUGCCAGUGCUCUGCAAUGACCACCAAGAACAGCAUUAGCAGUGGAGGGGGGCCCGCCAGAGCUGAGAAGACAAGCUGUGUGUUCUGCAGAGGGCGGAGUUGGAGAAGUGACCCAAGCGCUUUGAAGGAGCCCAGAGGAUGGUAUGAAUUCCUUCCCGUGGAAGAGGCUUCAUUCCCAAACACAACGUGGUUGGAUAUCCAGUGGGUGUGUCUUCUCUGGCAGAUCGUUAUUGUAAUGCAUGAGCUCCACUGGGACCUUGGGGUCCAGAGAACUGGCCAGGACACCAGCACAUGCUGCUUGCUUUCCGAGGCAGGAGCACAUGCACACUGUGAAGUGCAUUCAUUGAUGGCUGGAUACAAAGUCACCAGAGAAACCACUGUGGCUGCAGCUACCAGUCUCCACCGCUGAAGACCCAGAGUGGAGCGCGCACACACAGACCAUCCACGCUGUAAUUUCUUUGGAUCUCUAACAAUGUAAAUGGGGGAUUAAUGGGAAUGGGUAUCAUGUAAACUCCUACUUCUUGGCUAUGUAAAAACCAUUUUUAUGGAUGAAAAAUGGGGAAAGUGCCUUUCAAAACUAAAUAACUUUUUAAAAAAGAAAUCUAAGCCAAUUGCUUUCAAAGCCCUUCUUAAUCUAACUAGGUGUAGGCUUUUCUACAACUUUCCCCUGGAUGUUUGCUCUUGAAAAGCUAACCUUCAACACUGAGCCAAGUCUACCCUCCAACUUAUAGUAGAACCUUAACUGAUAACUAACAUCGACGGAGCUGGGACACCAGAGGCUAGCCUACUGAUUCAGCCCUUCAUUCCAAUAGUCCAAACAAAUCAACAGAACAGGAAACACAGAGUCAUACACAAUCUCGAGAUGCUCGAGUCCUGUGUACCCCUUGGAGUUCAAGCUGAGAAAACUGAAAAGACAUAGCGGCACUGCUAUGUCUUUGGUCAGUUAAUGUUGGGGACAGUGCAUGGUCAGGUAAUGUUGGGGUCGGUGCGUAGGAGAGAGAUGCUGAAGAAUACUAAGUGUCAAGACCCUGCUCUCCCUCCUCGGCUGCUGGCAUCCCGAGUGGUGGUGGUGGGGCUCUGCUCCCCCAGGACUGCCUCGGGGCUCUCAACAAAGGCCCUUCCCUUCACUAGACCACAGGCAGACAGAGCUAGAAAACAGGUCCCUAUUCCUGGGAGGAGGACCAUGCAAGCCAUAUCCCUCAUCCACAGGCAGUAGUGCUCACUGCGUCUCUAGCUUCCUCCGCGUGGGGAUGCCCCUGCCCUCUUGUCACUGGUUCUUUUUGGUGGAUUGACCAGAAGUUCCGUCAGUCCUCAGCUGAAGCCUGCAGUUAAAUCCCUGUGCCUCAGGCUCUCUAGUGCUGAGAUCACAAGUGUGGGUCAUUAUGUCCAGCAGGAUCUUUUUCAACUACAUGUAUGAUGAUGCUUCUGAGGAAGAAUUGUUCAGGUGCCAAAUGUCUACAUUUCAAAUAAAAUCAUCUAAGUGCCUAUUCUGUCGGCUCUUAGGUUUUCUCAAGAAA